rnacentral:rRNA from 1 species
GAUGAACGCUGGCGGCGUGCUUAACACAUGCAAGUCGAACGGAAAGGCCCAAGCUUGCUUGGGUACUCGAGUGGCGAACGGGUGAGUAACACGUGGGUGAUCUGCCCUGCACUUCGGGAUAAGCCUGGGAAACUGGGUCUAAUACCGGAUAGGACGAUGGUCUGGAUGCCAUUGUGGAAAGUUUUUUCGGUGUGGGAUGAGCUCGCGGCCUAUCAGCUUGUUGGUGGGGUAAUGGCCUACCAAGGCGUCGACGGGUAGCCGGCCUGAGAGGGUGUACGGCCACAUUGGGGCUGAGGUACGGCCAAGACUCCGACGGGAGGCAGCAGGGGGGAAGAGUGCACAACGGGCGCAAGCGUGAUGCAGCGAGGCCGCGUGGGGGAUGACGGCCUUCGGGUUGUACGCGCCUUUCGCUAGGGACGAAGCGUUUUUGUGCCGGGACCUGGAGAAGAAGCACCGGCUAACUACGUG